GGGCCCGCACAAGCGGUGGAGCAUGUGGUUUAAUUCGAUGAUACGCGAGGAACCUUACCAGGGCUUAAAUGUAAGUUGCAUAGAUCAGAGAUGGUCUUUUCUUCGGACUACUUACAAGGUGCUGCAUGGUUGUCGUCAGCUCGUGCCGUGAGGUGUCAGGUUAAGUCCUAUAACGAGCGCAACCCCUGUCGUUAGUUACCAGCAAGUAAUGUUGGGUACUCUAGCGAGACUGCCGGUGCAAACCGUGAGGAAGGUGGGGAUGACGUCAAAUCAUCACGGCCCUUACGUCCUGGGCUACACACGUGCUACAAUGGCCGGUACAGAGAGCAGCCACUACGCGAGUAGGAGCGAAUCCUUAAAACCGGUCUCAGUUCGGAUCGGGGUCUGCAACUCGGCCCCGUGAAGCUGGAAUCGCUAGUAAUCG
rnacentral:rRNA from 1 species